GGUUAUGAUUUGAUUAAGUCAGAGCAUGGAGCAAAAGAUGGAGCAAAAGUCUCAGUAGCCACGAUGAAUGAGAUGAAACAUGGAGCAAAAGAUGUAGGCCAAAGAGAUGAUGAAAAUGAAGAAUACAUCCAUGUGUGUUCUUUCACGUCAAUGAGUGUACACCUUGACAGAGAAAUGGAAAGUGGAACCGAUGGUAUGCACCUUUCGCUUGCAAAUAUCAUUACACCAUACAAUCUUUGAUUUGCUCCCACAACCACCAAAGCAGAAAAUAUGCUUGCAGCUUUGGGAUUUCUAAUCACCAAUUUUUAACUAAUAUUUAAGUAAUAAAUAAUGUAUCAUUUAUCUCAAUUGUUAAGAACAUAUUUAAAGAAGAAGAAGAAGAAGAAGAAGAAGAAGGAAAAGAAGAAAAAAAGAAUUGCGUAUAUCAAUUGCUUCUCCUUUUAAGGAGAAUAAAAUGGUUAGAGCUCCUUGCAAUGAGAAAAUGAGAUUGAAAAGGGGUGCAUGAACCGCCGAAGAAGAUUAAACUUUGAUACCUUACAUUCAACAAUCUGGUCAUGGAAAUUGGCAUCUCCUUCCCAAACAAGAAGCAAGGAAAUAUGAUGGAGUGCAGCACGGAAGGGAUUAAGAACAUACCUCUACUAUUAUUUGUAUCUUAUGAUCAACGACAGUCUUCAUUAUUGGAUAUCAUAAGGUAAUUGUUCAGUUUGUUAUCAUUUGUAUCGAAAGACAGACUCCAUUAAAAGGAUAUGGUUGGCUCUUUAGUUGAUGUAUAUAGAUCAUCCAUAAGACAUGUAAUCGAUAGUUGAUUCGGUAUGGGAGAGUCGUAGAUUCAUAGGUUUAAUGCCAGUGAAUUAUAGCUUAGUAUGCUUUUUACUUUAUAUUUACAUAUAAAUGAGAUGUUUGAAUAUCGUUUUAAGUACAUAAGGUUUUGAAAUUUGGAA